GGUUCGGUAGCUAAGUGGUAGUAAGUUACACAACAUUCAAACAACCGGUCCAGCAUUCAAUUCUAACAACCUCUACAGUAGCGUGGGAUUGCAGCUUCACAGCAAGUUAUCCUAAGGUCACGUGUUCGAUCCACGUUCGGACCU
rnacentral:tRNA from 1 species